UGUGUGUGUGUGUGCGAGAGUGCUUUUGCGUUCGCCUUGCUAAAAAUAGCGAAUGAUUGCAGUCGCAUUUACCGUUGCCGCGCUCAGUCGCAAGAACAACGGACAACUCCUAGCGGGAACUGCACUACACAAACAUGCAUGAACACACACACACACACCCCGCUUCCACCGACCCCCUUCUGGCAUGCCCUGCACAAUUUUUUUUUCAUGCAAAAAGGUUGAAGACCUUUCACCUACUUUUGCCGCGGACGGGGCGAACAUCGGCACAGGGCGAAGAGCAAACUGUUUUUCGCUGUGUGCGAGCGCCAGCGAGUGCGGCGAGCCAAGGCGAGGCGAAGACAAACAAAACAACAGCCUGUCAAGUAAAUCAUGGUGCAGCGACUGUUGAAUACCCUGUAAGCGUUGCAGUUGUGCGUUAUAUUUAUCAAUGUAUAAUAUCAAUAAUAUAAUCAAUUAGUAAAAAGCUACAAAUUUAAUGUAAA